rnacentral:lncRNA from 10 species
UAAGAGACAGGGUCUCACUAUGUUGCCCCAGUUGGCCUUGAACUGCUGGACUCAAGGGAUCCUCCUGCCUCAGCAUCCUGAGUAGCUGGGUCUACAGGCAUGAACCACCAGGCCCAGAACCCUGUCUUUUGAAAGCCAUAUGCGAUCUGUCUGCCCUGAAGUGACUACUUCAUCUCCAACCAGCCCUUGGCUGGCAAAGUCAGGAAGACUCCAGUCUUUCCUGAAGACCAGGGGAGAGUUUAUAACUCUAGCAUCAAAGUCAGCAGCUGUUCAUCUAGAAGACAACUUCCCAAAAGUCAAUGUCUUUGCCUGAAGCUUUUCUUCCCAGAUCUCCUAUGGUGAAACAACCAAAGGGAAGAAGAAUGUGGGCAGCCCUCAGUAAGACAGGAGAUGAGCAUCAACAUUGACCCAUUCUUUCUUCCAGUCCUCGAUGCUUACCUUGUACAUUCUUCUUUGUCUUCCGACUCAGUGCCUUUAGGGUAUGGACGUUGCCUGGUCCCACACAAGCCAAGCAUCAAAUGGAUGGCUCAACAAGGAGGCCAAGACCAGCUAAUGUUUAGUGAGCACCCAAAGGGGCCACACUGGAGAGAACAGCACAGCUCCGUCUGAGAAACAGCUGUUCCUUCCUGCCUGAGAGGCAGAGUGAUAGAAGAUAUCACAGAAUGUUGCUGCUUUGUCUUCCACCCUGAACCCUCCACGACCUCCCUGUAGCUUCCUGAUUUUAAGUAGACAUCAAAUGAUUCUUAAUCCUUUCUGGGUCUUGGAACGAUUUGAAAAUUGUCAACAGUACUGGGAUUCCCAGAAUAAUGCACAUAUGUACAUACUCAGAUAUUCCCCAAGCCCUGGAUAUAAUUUUAAGGGAGUUCACAGACCACACUCCCCCACCCAUCUGUGGACCCAGAUUCUGUGGGUUCGAGAUUCAGAAGCCCUGUUUCUAGGCAGGCCCUCUGUUGCUAACGCCCCUCGAGAACAUCACCCUAGAUGAUUAUCCCUUCUUCCUCCACUCCUUCCCACCUUCUCCAACUGCUGGGUUUCAGCACAAAGAUUGCUUGCCAGUUAAACUGGCACCAUGGACCGCACAGUAGUUGUUUCUUGGGUCUAGAGGAAACAGCCAGAUUCCUUUAAGUAAAUCAUGUCUUAGUUAUUGAUUGUCUCCACUUGAAGUUUUUGACAAUCUCUGAUUAAAU